CAACAAAAAACGGACGCCUUUCAUACACCGCGAGUGUUGUGCGCGAAAAAAAAGCAGCCGAAUGUGUGAUCAAAAACUGACGAACCGAUCAGUGCCUAUGGGCAAAUGUCUUCAUAUAUGCGCAUGUGUAUGUACACAGUUAACUCGAUCGGAUGAUAGGAAAUUCAAUGUCCCAUAAAUGUGCGACACCGAAAUGGAUUAUGUGUAUGUGGAUAUGUGCGUGCAUCAAUAUAUGACGAUGUAUGUAUGUAAGUAGGUGCACCGAUUUGCGGAUACGCGCGUGAGGAAAUUAAUUGGGCAAUUGAAAUAAUUCGAACACACAAGAAAUCGAGCUGUGGAAAAUAAAUGUACAUGUGGGUGUAAACGAGUUUUACAUAUGUAUGGUAGAUGGAGAAAAUAAAAGUGGAAUUGGACAAGUGAGGAAAAAUGCGUGGUCGUGGAAUGGGAAAAAAAAAGUUGGACAAGCACACUAAGCAUCGGGAACAGGAAUUCCGCUGAUGCAAGCUGGAGGAGCG